rnacentral:rRNA from 1 species
UUAAGGAUGGGGAUAACAGACGGAAACGACUGCUAAUACCGAAUACGUUCUAAGCAUCGCAUGAUGCAUAAGAAGGAAAGGGGUGGCCUCUACAAGAAAGCUAUCGCCUUAAGAGGGGUUUGCGACUGAUUAGGUAGUUGGUGAGGUAACGGCUCACCAAGCCGACGAUCAGUAGCCGGUCUGAGAGGAUGAACGGCCACACUGGAACUGAGACACGGUCCAG